ensembl:scaRNA
UGGGAGGCAGAUACUGAGCUGUGCUCUGUCCGUCACUAGCCCUCCCUAUAGCGUCCUCGCUCUCUGAUGACCGUGGCAAGCUAAGAGGUAUCACAGUGGACCGAUAUGGGGCAGACAACU